UGGGGAAUAUUGCACAAUGGAGGGAACUCUGAUGCAGCGACGCCGCGUGAACGAAGAAGGCUUUCGAGUCGUAAAGUUCUUUUAUAUGGGAAGAUAAUGACGGUACCAUAAGAAAAAGCCCCGGCUAACUACGUGCCAGCAGCCGCGGUAAUACGUAGGGGGCUAGCGUUGUCCGGAAUCACUGGGCGUAAAGGGUUCGCAGGCGGAAAUGCAAGUCAGGUGUAAAAGGCAGUAGCUUAACUACUGUAAGCAUUUGAAACUGCAUAUCUUGAGAAGAGUAGAGGUAAGUGGAAUUUUUAGUGUAGCGGUGAAAUGCGUAGAUAUUAAAAAGAAUACCGGUGGCGAAGGCGACUUACUGGGCUCAUUCUGACGCGGAGGAACGAAAGCGUGGGUAGCAAACAGG
rnacentral:rRNA from 2 species